rnacentral:rRNA from 1 species
UACGAAGGGGGCUAGCGUUGUUCGGAAUCACUGGGCGUAAAGCGCACGUAGGCGGAUCUUUAAGUCAGGGGUGAAAUCCCGGGGCUCAACCUCGGAACUGCCUUUGAUACUGGGAUCUCGAGUCCGGGAGAGGUGAGUGAACUGCGAGUGUAGAGGUGAAAUUCGUUAGAUAUUGGGAAGGAACACCGGUGGCGAAGGCGGCGACCUGGUUCAUUACUGACGCUGAGCGCGAAGCGUGGGAGCAACAGG